rnacentral:rRNA from 1 species
CCUACGGGGGGCAGCAGUGGGGAAUAUUGGACAAUGGGGGCAACCCUGAUCCAGCCAUGCCGCGUGUGUGAAGAAGGCCCUCGGGUUGUAAAGCACUUUCAGUGAGGAAGAACGCCUGGUGGUUAAUACCCAUCAGGAAAGACAUCACUCACAGAAGAAGCACCGGCUAACUCCGUGCCAGCAGCCGCGGUAAUACGGAGGGUGCGAGCGUUAAUCGGAAUUACUGGGCGUAAAGCGCGCGUAGGUGGCUUGAUAAGCCGGUUGUGAAAGCCCCGGGCUCAACCUGGGAACGGCAUCCGGAACUGUCAAGCUAGAGUGCAGGAGAGGAAGGUAGAAUUCCCGGUGUAGCGGUGAAAUGCGUAGAGAUCGGGAGGAAUACCAGUGGCGAAGGCGGCCUUCUGGACUGACACUGACACUGAGGUGCGAAAGCGUGGGUAGCAAACAGGAUCAGAUACCCUAGUAGUC